GUCCCUGUAGCGCAAUGGAUAAUGCGUUGGACUUCUAAUCCAAAGGUCGUGGGUUCGAAUCCCACUGGGAUG
rnacentral:tRNA from 1 species